AUUUACUCUUGGUUUUUUUUUCUUUCCCACCCUGCACCCCUUACUGCAUCUGCUGACACAGAGGAAGUGACAGCCUCCUACCCAAAGGAAAGAAAUGAAAGAAGCUGAAGAUUCCUAGAACCAGCAUUGCUGACCAGCAGAAGAUAAGAGUGAGGAUCUUUGAACUCCCUCCACUAGUAUUGUUUGUCCUCACUAUGAAGUUUUUAAUCCAGUAGCCAGAUUUUGUCCCCAUGCCUCUGCUCCAUCUGUGGUGAUUCAGUUACAGGAAUGGGCUCUGCCUCUAGGCAGCUGCAAUUCCAUCCUCAUCCCACCAGUUAAAUUUGGAGAGGGGGCAAAGGGGCUUACUGGUAUUAACCCACGUGGAUAUUUGCCUCUAAUCUUCUUUAAUAUUUAGAUUUCUGUAGGAUAUCAAAUUAUUUUUUGGCCAAGUGAGGGAGUUCUUCUGCCAUCAGCACCAGGCUUUUUUUUCUAGUAAAUUCUGAUUCUCUCUCACUCUUGAUCCCAAGAGAACCUGGGACUGAAUUCAGGACAAUGCCAUUCAUUGGGUGCCUGUCACUGCUGGAAUAUCUUACUUGUGUCACUGUCUGCUCAGUGAUGCUUUCAGAUAUUUGUAAAAAUUAAAGAAAAAAAAACAACCAAA